AUUGAACGCUGGCGGCAGGCCUAACACAUGCAAGUCGAACGAGUGGCGGACGGGUGAGUAAUGUCUGGGAAACUGCCCGAUGGAGGGGGAUAACUACUGGAAACGGUAGCUAAUACCGCAUACCAUCGGAUGUGCCCAGAUGGGAUUGGCUAGUAGGGGGGGUAAAGGCUCACCUAGGCGACGAUCCCUAGCUGGUCUGAGAGGAGGACCAGCCAACCUGGAACUGAGACACGGUCCAGACUCCUACGGGAGUCAGCAGUGGGGAAUAUUGCACAAUGGGCGCAAGCCUGAUGCAGACAUGCCGCGUGUAUGAAGAAGGCCUUCGGGUUGUAAAGUACUUUCAGCGAGGAGGCGUUACUCGCAGAAGAAGCACCGGCUAACUCCGUGCCAGCAGCCGCGGUAAUGC
rnacentral:rRNA from 1 species